AAAACCAUUACCGCAUGUCGUACGAUGGUAUAUUAUCGCACAGGAUGUCCUGUCAACUUCGGCUUCGCCUCGGAUCGACACUCUGACAUCUAGUGUGAUGAAGAUGCGACACUUGCAGGAUAAAUAACUAUUUUUUGUUUGUAAAAUAAACAA